UGGGGAAUUGUUCGCAAUGGGCGCAAGCCUGACGACGCAACGCCGCGUGGAGGACGAAGAUCUUCGGGUCGUAAACUCCUUUCGAUCGGAACGAAUCGCUCGCGACCUAAUACGUCGCGGGAUUGACGGUACCGGGAGAAGAAGCCCCGGCUAACUCCGUGCCAGCAGCCGCGGUAAUACGGGGGGGGCAAGCGUUGUUCGGAAUUACUGGGCGUAAAGGGCGCGUAGGCGGCCUUCUAAGUCGGACGUGAAAUCCCCCGGCUCAACCGGGGAACUGCGUCCGAUACUGGAGGGCUCGAAUCCGGGAGGGGGAUGUGGAAUUCCAGGUGUAGCGGUGAAAUGCGUAGAUAUCUGGGGGAACACCGGUGGCGAAGGCGGCAUCCUGGACCGGCAUUGACGCUGGGGCGCGAAAGCCAGGGGAGCAAACGGG
rnacentral:rRNA from 1 species